ACUCAAAUGAAUUGACGGGGACCCGCACAAGCAGUGGAGUAUGUGGUUUAAUUCGAAGCAACGCGAAGAACCUUACCAGGGCUUGACAUCCCAGGAAUCCGAUGGAAACAUUGGAGUGCCCUUCGGGGAAUCUGGUGACAGGUGGUGCAUGGUUGUCGUCAGCUCGUGUCGUGAGAUGUUGGGUUAAGUCCCGCAACGAGCGCAACCCUUACGGUUAGUUGCUACGCAAGAGAACUCUAACCGGACUGCCGUUGACAAAACGGAGGAAGGUGGGGACGACGUCAAAUCAUCAUGCCCCUUACGUUCUGGGCUACACACGUACUACAAUGGCCGAUAAACAGAGGGAAGCAAGACCGCAAGGUGGAGCAAAUCCCAAAAAGCGGCCCCAGUUCAGAUUGCAGGCUGCAACUCGCCUGUAUGAAGUCGGAAUUGCUAGUAAUCGCGAAUCAGCAUGUCGCGGUGAAUACGUUCCCGGGUCUUGUACACACCGCCCGU
rnacentral:rRNA from 1 species